rnacentral:rRNA from 1 species
AUUGAACGCUGGCGGCAUGCUUUACACAUGCAAGUCGAACGGCAGCGCGGGCUUCGGCCUGGCGGCGAGUGGCGAACGGGUGAGUAAUGCAUCGGAACGUGCCCAGUAGUGGGGGAUAGCCCGGCGAAAGCCGGAUUAAUACCGCAUACGACCUGAGGGUGAAAGCGGGGGACCGAAAGGCCUCGCGCUAUUGGAGCGGCCGAUGUCGGAUUAGCUAGUUGGUGGGGUAAAGGCUUACCAAGGCGACGAUCCGUAGCUGGUCUGAGAGGACGACCAGCCACACGGGAACGGGGAAACGGCCAGGAUCCCUAGGGGAGGCGGCGGGGGGGAUUUUGGGACAUGGGGGCAACCCUGAUCCAGCCAUGCCGCGUGCGGGAAGAAGGCCUUCGGGUUGUAAACCGCUUUUGUUCGGGAAGAAAUCCUCUGGGCUAAUACCCCGGGGGGAUGACGGUACCGGAAGAAUAAGCACCGGCUAACUACGUG